AUAAACAAUUUUUUUUGCUUUGAAGAAAGUUAGAAGCUUUCCAAUUAAAUAUUUCUUU
rnacentral:tRNA from 1 species